AGAUUGAACGCUGGCGGCAGGCCUAACACAUGCAAGUCGAGCGGCAGCACGGGUACUUGUACCUGGUGGCGAGCGGCGGACGGGUGAGUAAUGCCUAGGAAUCUGCCUGGUAGUGGGGGAUAACGCUCGGAAACGGACGCUAAUACCGCAUACGUCCUACGGGAGAAAGCAGGGGACCUUCGGGCCUUGCGCUAUCAGAUGAGCCUAGGUCGGAUUAGCUAGUUGGUGAGGUAAUGGCUCACCAAGGCGACGAUCCGUAACUGGUCUGAGAGGAUGAUCAGUCACACUGGAACUGAGACACGGUCCAGACUCCGUACGGGAGCAGCAGU
rnacentral:rRNA from 1 species